rnacentral:rRNA from 1 species
AGAUGUGGGUAGUCCGCACGAGCGCACCCUGUCCUUAGUUGCCAGCACAUAAUGGUGGGGACUCUAAGGAGACUGCCUGGGAUAACCAGGAGGAAGGUGGGGAUGAUGUCAAGUCAGUAUGUCCCUUAUGUCCAGGGCUACACACGUGUUACAAUGGCCGGUACAAUGGGCUGCAAACCUGCGAGGGUAAGCCAAUCCCAAAAAACCGGCCCCAGUUCAGAUUGGAGUCUGCAACUCGACUCCAUGAAGGAGGAAUCGCUAGUAAUCGCGGAUCAGCACGCCGCGGUGAAUACGUUCCCGGGUCUUGUACACACCGCCCGUCAAGCCAUGGAAGUCGGCAGUACCCGAAGCCGGUGUCCCAACUCUUCGGAGAGGGAGCCGUCGAAGGUAAGGCUGGUAACUAGGGCUAAGUCGUAACAAGGUAGCCGUACCGGAAGGUGCGGCUGGAUCACCUCCUUUCU